rnacentral:rRNA from 1 species
GUAGGGUGCGAGCGUUAUCCGGAAUCAUUGGGCGUAAAGAGCUCGUAGGCGGUUCAGCAAGUCGGCUGUGAAAUUCCGAGGCUCAACCUCGGAACUGCAGUCGAUACUGCUGUGACUCGAGUCCGGUAGAGGAGAAUGGAAUUCAGGGUGUAGCGGUGAAAUGCGCAGAUAUCCUGAGGAACACCAGUAGCGAAGGCGGUUCUCUGGGCCGGUACUGACGCUGAGGAGCGAAAGCGUGGGUAGCAAACAGGAUUAGAUACCCUGGUAGUCCCACGCCCGUAAACGUUGGACACUAGGUGUGGCGUUCCGACCAACGGGUGCCGUGCCGAAGCUAACGCAUUAAGUGUCCCCGCCUGGGGAGUACGGCCGCAAGGCU